rnacentral:rRNA from 1 species
UACAGAGGGUGCGAGCGUUAAUCGGAAUUACUGGGCGUAAAGGGCGCGUAGGCGGCCUGUUAAGUCGGACGUGAAAUCCCUCGGCUCAACCGGGGAACUGCGUCCGAUACUGGUGGGCUUGAAUUCGGGAGAGGGAUGUGGAAUUCCAGGUGUAGCGGUGAAAUGCGUAGAUAUCUGGAGGAACACCGGUGGCGAAGGCGGCAUCCUGGACCGACAUUGACGCUGAGGCGCGAAAGCUAGGGGAGCAAACGGG